GGCAGAACGGGUGAAUAACACGUUGGGNAACCUUCCUAGGGGUACGGAACAACUCAGGGAAACUUGAGCUAAUACCGUAUACGUCCGUGAGGAGAAAGAUUUAUCGCCCUUAGACGGGCCCGCGUCGGAUUAGCUAGUUGGUGGGGUAACGGCCUACCAAGGCGACGAUCCGUAGCUGAUCUUAGAGGAUGAUCAGCCACACUGGGACUGAGACACGGCCCAGACUCCUACGGGAGGCAGCAGUGGGGAAUCUUGGACAAUGGGCGCAAGCCUGAUCCAGCCAUGCCGCGUGAGUGAAGAAGGUCUUCGGAUUGUAAAGCUCUUUUGCCAGGGACGAUAAUGACGGUACCUGGAGAAUAAGCCCCGGCAAACUUCGUGCCAGCAGCCGCGGUAAUACGAAGGGGGCUAGCGUUGUUCGGAAUUACUGGGCGUAAAGCGCACGUAGGCGGGUCGUUAAGUCAGGGGUGAAAUCCCGGAGCUCAACUCCGGAACUGCCUUUGAUACU
rnacentral:rRNA from 1 species